rnacentral:rRNA from 1 species
GUUUGAUCCUGGCUCAGGACGAACGCUGGCGGCGUGCCUAACACAUGCAAGUCGAACGGGACCAGGGGCAACUCUGGUUCAGUGGCGGACGGGUGCGUAACACGUGAGGAACAUGACUUUCGGUGGGGGAUAGCCGGCCCAACGGCCGGGUGAUACCGCGUACGACCUUUUGGGGACAUCCCCGAUUGGUGAAAGCAGCAAUGCGCCGAAAGAGUGCCUCGCGGCCUAUCAGCUAGUUGGUGGGGUAAUGGCUCACCAAGGCGACGACGGGUAGCUGGUCUGAGAGGAUGGCCAGCCACAUUGGGACUGAGACACGGCCCAGACUCCUACGGGAGGCAGCAGUGGGGAAUAUUGCGCAAUGGGCGAAAGCCUGACGCAGCGACGCCGCGUGUGGGAUGAAGGCCUUCGGGUCGUAAACCACUGUCGGGAGGGACGAAUGCGCCGCAAGGCGAGUGACGGUACCUCCAAAGGAAGCACCGGCUAACUCCGUGCCAGCAGCCGCGGUAAUACGGAGGGUGCGAGCGUUGUCCGGAAUCACUGGGCGUAAAGGGCGCGUAGGCGGCCUGAUAAGUAGGAGGUGAAAUCCUGAGGCCUAACCUCAGGGCUGCCUUCUAAACUGUCAGGCUCGAGCACAGUAGAGGCAGGCGGAAUUCCCGGUGUAGCGGUGGAAUGCGUAGAGAUCGGGAAGAACAUCAGUGGCGAAGGCGGCCUGCUGGGCUGUUGCUGACGCUGAGGCGCGACAGCGUGGGGAGCAAACAGGAUUAGAUACCCUGGUAGUCCACGCCGUAAACGAUGGGCACUAGGCGUCGGGGGGAGCGACCCUCCCGGUGCCGUCGCUAACGCAGU